rnacentral:lncRNA from 1 species
AAUUGGGGAUAUCUAAAAUGCAUUAUUAUAUGGAGGGUUUGAUGGAAACGGCGGAAAGCGCGCCAUCUAUUAGCCCAUGAUGUGUCCGACAUACCAGAGGAAUUGGUUUAUACGAAUGUCGAACAUUUCUUGGAACCGCUUGAGUUGUGCUACAGAUCGUUAUGUGCUUGUGGUGAUCGCAUGAUUGCUGACGGCAGUCUUCUCGAUUUCUUACGGCAAGUCUCCACUUUCAGUCUCUUGCUUGU